GCUUGUCUCAAAGAUUAAGCCAUGCAUGUCUAAGUAUAAAUGGUUAAUACUUGAAACUGCGAAUGGCUCAUUAAAUCAGUUAUAGUUUAUUUGAUGGUACCUCCUACUCGGAUAACCGUAGGAAAUCUAGAGCUAAUACGUGCGUAAAACCCGACUUCUGGAAGGGUCGUAUUUAUUAGAUAAAAGGCCAGCCGGGGCAACCCGACUCGCGGUGAAUCAUGAUAACUUCACGAAUCGUAUGGCCUCGUGCCGACGAUGUUUCAUUCAAAUUUCUGCCCUAUCAACUUUCGACGGUAGGAUAGAGGCCUACCGUGGUUUUAACGGGUGACGGAGGAUUAGGGUUCGAUUCCGGAGAGGGAGCCUGAGAGAUGGCUACCACAUCCAAGGAAGGCAGCAGG
rnacentral:rRNA from 1 species